CGGCGGCUCUACCUCUCCAUCUACAACUGGGUCAUCUUCUAUGGAUGGGCGCAGGUGCUGUACUACGCGGUGACGGCGCUGCUGGGGGGCGGCCAUGAGGGCGUCUACGCUGCCGUCGAGCGCCCAUUGCAGCUCGCGCAGACCGCCGCCGUCAUGGAGGUCCGCUUAUCUUCUCUUCUCUUCUUCCCCCCCUCUCCCACCUCUUUGACUCUUAGCUUCAGAAUUCUACUUGCUGAAAACAUAAAUUUUGGUCAAACUAUGUAG
rnacentral:rRNA from 1 species